rnacentral:rRNA from 1 species
AUUGAACGCUGGCGGCAGGCCUAACACAUGCAAGUCGAGCGAGCGGCCGACGGGUGAGUAAUGUAUGGGGACUGCCCGAUAGAGGGGGAUAACUACUGGAAACGGUGGCUAAUACCGCAUACUAUCGGAUAACCCAUAUGGGAUUAGCUAGUAGGUGGGGUAAAGGCUCACCUAGGCGACGAUCUCUAGCUGGUCCGAGAGGAUGAUCAGCAAGAUGAUGACUGAGACAGGGUGCGAACGUCUACGGAGUCAAUAAUGCGGAGUAUAGCAAAAUUGGCGCAAGCCUGAUGCAGCCAUGCCGCGUGUAUGAAGGAGGCCUUAGGGUUGUAAAGUUCUUUCAGCGGGGAAGCGUUACGCGCAGAAGAAGCACCGGCUAAUUCCGGUCCAGCAGCCGCGGUAAUAC